rnacentral:rRNA from 1 species
UACGUAGGUGGCGAGCGUUAUCCGGAAUUAUUGGGCGUAAAGAGCGCGCAGGUGGUUGAUUAAGUCUGAUGUGAAAGCCCACGGCUUAACCGUGGAGGGUCAUUGGAAACUGGUCGACUUGAGUGCAGAAGAGGGAAGUGGAAUUCCAUGUGUAGCGGUGAAAUGCGUAGAGAUAUGGAGGAACACCAGUGGCGAAGGCGGCUUCCUGGUCUGUAACUGACACUGAGGCACGAAAGCGUGGGGAGCAAACAGGAUUAGAUA